AGCGAGCGCUGGCGGCAGGCCUAACACAUGCAAGUCGAACGAACCCUUCGGGGUUAGUGGCGGACGGGUGAGUAACACGUGGGAACGUGCCUUUAGGUUCGGAAUAACUCAGGGAAACUUGUGCUAAUACCGAAUGUGCCCUUCGGGGGAAAGAUUUAUCGCCUUUAGAGCGGCCCGCGUCUGAUUAGCUAGUUGGGGAGGUAAUGGCUCACCAAGGCUACGAUCAGUAGCUGGUCUGAGAGGAUGACCAGCCACAUUGGGACUGAGACACGGCCCAAACUCCUACGGGAGGCAGCAGUGGGGAAUCUUGCGCAAUGGGCGAAAGCCUGACGCAGCCAUGCCGCGUGGAUGAUGAAGGUCUUAGGAUUGUAAAAUCCUUUCACCGGUGAAGAUAAUGACUGUAGCCGGAGAAGAAGCCCCGGCUAACUUCGUGCCAGCCGCCGCAGUAAUAC
rnacentral:rRNA from 1 species